UACGUAGGGCGCGAGCGUUGUCCGGAUUUAUUGGGCGUAAAGAGCUCGUAGGCGGCUUGUCCGCGUCGACCGUGAAGACUUGGGGCUCAACCCCAAGCCUGCGGUCGAUACGGGCAGGCUAGAGUUCGGUAGGGGAGACUGGAAUUCCUGGUGUAGCGGUGAAAUGCGCAGAUAUCAGGAGGAACACCGAUGGCGAAGGCAGGUCUCUGGGCCGAUACUGACGCUGAGGAGCGAAAGCGUGGGGAGCGAACAGG
rnacentral:rRNA from 1 species